AUUGAACGCUGGCGGCAGGCCUAACACAUGCAAGUCGAACGAGAGGGGGACGGGGGAGAGUAAUCUGGGAAAAAGCCGGAUGGAGGGGGGUAACGCCUGGAAAAGGGAGCAAAUACCGCAUACCAACAGAUGUGACCAGCUGGGGUUAGCUAGUAGGUGGGGUAACGGCUCACCUAGGCGAAGAUCCCUAGCUGGUCUGAGAGGAUGACCAGCCCUCUUGGACCGGAGCCACGCUCCAGCCUCCUACGGGCGGCAGACGUGGGGACUAUUGCACAAUGGGCGCAAGCCUGCUGCAGCCCUGCCGCGUGUGUGAAGAAGUCCUUCUGGUUUUACAGCACUUUCAGCGGGGAGGCGUUACUCGCAGAAGAAGCACCGGCUAACUCCGUGCCAGCAGCCGCGGUAAUAC
rnacentral:rRNA from 1 species